CAUUGAUCGAUGCGUUUGUGA
rnacentral:siRNA from 1 species